UACGUAGGUGGCAAGCGUUGUCCGGAUUUAUUGGGUUUAAAGGGUGCGUAGGCGGUUUUUUAAGUCAGUGCUGAAAUACUCCAGCUUAACUGGAGGGGUGGCAUUGAUACUGGAAGACUUGAGUACAGAUGAGGUAGGCGGAAUUGACGGUGUAGCGGUGAAAUGCAUAGAUAUCGUCAAGAACACCGAUAGCGAAGGCAGCUUACUGGGCUGUAACUGACGCUGAGGCACGAAAGCGUGGGGAGCAAACAGG
rnacentral:rRNA from 1 species